AUACUUACCUGGCGCCGGGACCUCGUUGAUCACCGAGGACGAGCUCCCAGGUCGAGGCGCGGGCAUUGCAUUGCGCUCACGUUGACUCCUGCCACGACCCAAGACUGGGGUAGAUGGGGCAUGUAAAUUGCUUAAAUCCGGUUCAACGCAAGAGAUGGCGCCACCGCC
rnacentral:snRNA from 1 species